rnacentral:rRNA from 1 species
AAUGAACGCUGGCGGCAUGCCUUACACAUGCAAGUCGAACGGCAGCAUGACCUAGCAUGCUAGGUUGAUGGCGAGUGGCGGACGGUUGAGUAAUGCAUCGCAACGUGCUUUUUAGUGGGGGCCAACGUAGCGAAAGUUACGCUAUUACCGCAUAUUCUCUGAGGCGGAUUGCAGGGGUCAUACCGGCCUUGCGCUAGAAGAGCGGCCGAUGUCGGAUUAGCUAGUUGGUGAGGUAAAGGCUCACCAAGGCAACGAACCGUAGCGGGUCUGAGAGGAUGAUCAGACACACUGGGACUGAGACAAGGCCCAGACUCCUACGGGAGGCAGCAGAGGGGAAUUUUGGACAAUGGGAGCAAGCCUGAUCCAGCCAUGCCGCGUGGGUGAAGAGGGCCUUGGGGUUGUAAAGCUCUUUCGGCUGGGAGGAAAAGGCACACUCGAAAACAGGGGGUGGAUGACGGUACCAGCAGAAGAAGCACCGGCUAACUACGUG